rnacentral:tRNA from 1 species
AGCCGUAGUUUAGCCUGAAAGGAUGCUUGCUUGGCAUGCGGGAGAUCCCGGGUUCAAGUCCCGGCCAGGUUACCA